ACUAGCAACCAGGGCCGCCACCAGAAAUUUUGGGGCCCCUAACUGAGCUCAGGGUCUGGGCCCCUGGGGGCCCGCCUCCAAAACCGCCCACAGAGACCGCCUCCAAAUCCCGCCCACAGGAAUACACACACAGACACAAACACAUUCACUGAUACAAAAGGACACAGAUACACACACACACACUGAUACAUACUAACAGACACAUACUGAUACGCAUAUAGGCAUACAUACUGACACACACAUACUGAGACAUACACACAUAUACAGACACACAGG